rnacentral:rRNA from 1 species
UAAUACGUAGGGUGCAAGCGUUAAUCGGAAUUACUGGGCGUAAAGCGUGCGCAGGCGGUUAUGUAAGACAGGUGUGAAAUCCCCGGGCUCAACCUGGGAACUGCAUUUGUGACUGCAUAGCUAGAGUUUGUCAGAGGGGGGUGGAAUUCCACGUGUAGCAGUGAAAUGCGUAGAUAUGUGGAAGAACACCGAUGGCGAAGGCAGCCCCCUGGGAUAAGACUGACGCUCAUGCACGAAAGCGUGGGGAGCAAACAGG